rnacentral:lncRNA from 1 species
AAUCCAGCUAGAAACUGGUGGCUACUUUCUUGGGUGAGAGGUCUCAACAAGAAAGAGUCGUACUUUGAUUUUGUGUUAGACUGCCGAGUGUCUACAAGGAUCAAAGGGUUGAUAGAAAGCCAGCUAGAAACUGGUGGCUACUUUCUUGGGUGAGAGUGCUCAACAAGAAAGAGUCGCACUGUGAUUCUGUGUUAGAUUGCCGAGUAUCUACAAGGAUCAGAGGGUGAUCAAUAGGAAAGAGAUCAUUAAGAUAGAUAGGUUUCGGGGAUGAAACUGGACAAUCUGUAAUUGAUUCUUUCUAUUGGAGAAGAAAAUCUGAAAUCCGAUUGGAUUAUCAGGACUGGAUG